UAAUGUUGUGUCAAGCUGCAGUGAGUUUAGAUCAACUUACAGAUUUGGGACAAAAUGUGACUAUAAACUGUGAUCUGGACUCAAAUGAUGUUUAUUGGAUUUUACUGAAACAAUCAGAUUCUCAUACAGUGAUACUGCGCUCAUUCUCAAACCCAACAUCUGCUUUUUACUUAAAUAAAACAUUUAAAAACAAAUAUUCAGUACAAUCUAAACACCGUCUGGUGAUAUAUAAUAUUACUGUAGAUGAGUUAGGAGUUUAUUACUGUAUGAACACAGAUACACCUCCAAAACUCAGUAACAGCACAAGACUGAACAUCAUUGAAACAACUCAACAAAGUGAGUUUAGCACAACUCACAACUGCACAAAUAACACCGCUGUAGAGCCAAUUACAAACAAGACAUGGAUAACUUUCACUGUCAUAUCUGGUGUGCUGAAUGGUGUUCUGAUCAUUACAAUCAUAGGACUGUUAAAGGUUUAUGUUGUUGAUAAUGGAUGCUGGAAGAAAUCUAGAAAGAGUUCAGGACAACUUCAUAACAAUAAUCUACAGCAGACACAAGUUCUUGAACAGCAUCAAGACCCAGAUCAACUACAGUAUGUCGCUGUGGAUUUUUCUAAACUGCGUAAAAAUAAUCGUCCCAGUCAAGAAAACAGCACAUAUGCUGCUUUAAACCUGCCAAGAUCAAAAGUAAUAUAAAUGAUCUCAUAUUCAUCUUGUACAGUACAGGAUUAUUAAAUGGUCCAUUUAAUAUUUAAAACGGAUUAAAACCAUUAAACUUUUAUACACUCAAAAAAAAUAUUUUUGCACCUUGUUUAAUUUACUUAAAUGAAACAAGUUAAUACAACACAAUUUUUUAUUUUUUUGUCUCAACCUAUUUUUAUAAUGUUCAAUCUGCUUAAAUUUAAAAAAAUUACAUGAACUCAAUAAUUUUAUAUUGGGACCACAUUAAUGAUUUUUGUUGCUAUUACUUACUGGGCCGUGAAUCUGUAUUUCCCAGCAUGCUUUGCAU